AGUAUACAUGUUGAUACCAAAUGAAUAAAUAAUAUAUCACAUAAGCAUGCAUUUUUAUUUAUUUACUUAUUUUUGGCGUUUUUGCCUUUAUUGUUUUGUUUGCCUUUGAACUUGACAGUCUGACUGUGUCCAACUCAAUGCAACGGCCACCUAAUGUUAAAUGCUGUUUAUGAGAUUAAUGCUGAUGUUCCUUUUGGAGUAUUUUUCCUGCGUUGUAGCCUUUGCGCGUACACACGUUGUUCUCCUCGCGUGAGCGCGCAGGCGCAGAUGUAAAAGGGAGAAGUCCACUCUGUUGCUGCUUGUUACAGAACACUAUCUUGUAUAAUCCGUUUCGUUUCGUUUGUAGCGUUUAUCAGAUUGUUUAUUUUGCUGAUUUAUAUUCCAUCCUUGACACGUAUGCGAAGACUGCGACCUGUUCAUGAGGAUUACCAGUUCUGUGCUCCGGGUGGUUUCUUCUCGCCCCGUCACACCAUCCCAUUCCGUGUUUCAGAGUUUUGUUCAACAAAUUCUGCUACAAAGGUGUUAGUCCCUCCAUAGGAUAACAAGGAGGCUUGUGCUCCUGAAAAUUAUGAAAGAAGACUACAAAUGUAAAAAUAUGCAAUCCACAUUAAUUCUGCAGAAAUCAGAUAAAUUCACAUUAUUUCAACAAUGGCUUCACCGAGAGGACACCGUCGGCGCGGAAGCAUGGAGGAACCAGUUUUCAUGUCAGCUGAUAUUAUUAAUCGCGAAGAGGAGUUGAAUAGAACUCAAAAGGACAUUUUCCCAGAAUGCAGCAAGCAUUUGGAGAAAAUUCGUGAUCUUACCAAUGAGUUUGCAAAUGAUCAUGGUCUUGGUAUUUAUGCACGCAGAGGAGGACAAAUAGCUGGAGGAAUCGCGAUCAUGUUGUCUGCAUUAGCUUUAUAUUUUAUUGAAGAAGAGGUUUUUGUAAUUGUUGCUGCAGCAGGGGCAGCGGCUGUAGUUUCUCUAUUAUGUGCUGCUUUUGGACGAAACAGGAAAACACAUCAGAAGAAAAACUUAAAACAAUCUAUUGAAGAGGAAUCUAAGGGAUUUCAGGAUAAAAUGAACCAUUUUAUUGACAUCUUGGAAAAAAACGGUCAACGCACUGAGGAAAUAUUGAGAGACGCUUUACUCUCAGACCACAAUGUCCAGGCAUUAAGUGAACACUUGUCCUACUGCUUUGAAAAAGGGCAACUAUUUCAGGAACAGGACAGAAGUAAAGCUGGUGACCAGAUGUCUAAAAUUGUGCAUUUGUCUGAAAACAUUUCAGAAAUGAUCGCCAAGAUUAAUUCUGUGCCUGAUAUCCUCAAAGAGAUUAUCAAAGACAACGAGAGGCAACGUGCCAAACCUGAAAAACCCAGACAGGAACAAAUGAUUAAAAGAGAGUUUAAGGAGAAAGCAGAGAAAUUAAUUAAUGACAUGCAGAAAGGAAUAUGUAUCAUAAAAAAUAGAGUUAAAGAUAUCAACCAGUCAUUAGACAGAAUAUCACAUAUUUUGAGUUGAACCUUUCAAAACAUAAAAGUAUUAGCUGCUGAGACAAAACCUCAGACAAACUUCCACCUGACAGAGAACAACACAAAUAGUGACCAACAUUACAUUGCCGAUUUGCAUAAUUUCAGUGUUUCAUUGUCCUACAACAAUUAUUGUUAGCAAAGUCAAAAGUAUAUAUAUAUAUACUUUUUCCCCCCAUAUUGUUUUGUUUAUGCUCUGCAUUAUUGAUCUAUAGUGGAUGUUGUUAUUUUGUGUAUAUUUUGUACUUUACAUUUAUCACUUAAGAAAGAAAAGAAAAACUGUAAUAAAAUGCACACACAAAAAUGUAU